rnacentral:rRNA from 1 species
UGGGGAAUAUUGCGCAAUGGGGGGAACCCUGACGCAGCCAUGCCGCGUGAAUGAAGAAGGCCUUCGGGUUGUAAAGUUCUUUCGGUGAUGAGGAAGGUAACAUUGUUAAUACCAAUGUUAAUUGACGUUAAUUACAGAAGAAGCACCGGCUAACUCCGUGCCAGCAGCCGCGGUAAUACGGAGGGUGCGAGCGUUAAUCGGAAUAACUGGGCGUAAAGGGCACGCAGGCGGAUUUUUAAGUGAGGUGUGAAAGCCCCGGGCUUAACCUGGGAAUUGCAUUUCAGACUGGGAAUCUAGAGUACUUUAGGGAGGGGUAGAAUUCCACGUGUAGCGGUGAAAUGCGUAGAGAUGUGGAGGAAUACCGAAGGCGAAGGCAGCCCCUUGGGAAUGUACUGACGCUCAUGUGCGAAAGCGUGGGGAGCAAACAGGAUUAGAUACCC